UACGUAGGGUGCAAGCGUUAAUCGGAAUCACUGGGCGUAAAAGGGGUGCGUAGGCGGGUCUUUUAAGUCAGGGGUGAAAUCCUGGAGCUCAACUCCAGAACUGCCUUUGAUACUGAGGAUCUUGAGUCCGGGAGAGGUGAGUGGAACUGCGAGUGUAGAGGUGAAAUUCGUAGAUAUUCGCAAGAACGACCAGUGGCGAAGGGCGGCUCACUGGCCCGGUAGUGACGC
rnacentral:rRNA from 1 species